UACAGAGGGGCAAGCGUUGUUCGGAAUACUGGGCGUAAAGGGCGCGUAGGCGGCCUGUUAAGUCGAACGUGAAAUCCCUGGGCUCAACCCAGGAACUGCGUCCGAUACUGGCAGGCUUGAAUUCGGGAGAGGGAUGCGGAAUUCCAGGUGUAGCGGUGAAAUGCGUAGAUAUCUGGAGGAACACCGGUGGCGAAGGCGGCAUCCUGGACCGAUAUUGACGCUGAGGCGCGAGAGCAGGGGAGCAAACGGG
rnacentral:rRNA from 1 species